GCUAUGGCGGCAAACCGCUAUGUACAGUGCAUGUGUAGCAUCAUUAUGUACAGCACAUGCGCUGUACAUAGUGGUUUGCCGCUGGC